CAUUCUUUGGUUUGGAUGUUUUUGCCUCUAGCUUUGGAAUUAACAUAUAACUAAUUGUUUUGGAUAAUGUCAGUACAUCUUCAAUCAUAAUUCAGAAGACUAGACAGAGAAUGAAAGCAGACAUUUACUACUUGUUGAUUUUUUUCUGCCUUUUUACAAGAGGGGGCGCUGUCGACUGCAAUGGACGCUGUGCCUGUUGCAUUGACGGAGAAUCAGGGUGUGGAACACAGCCAGGAUUAAAAGAUGAUACAAUCUGUUUAAAAGGAUGCGUUGAUACUAUAUAUGGUCAUAGAUGUAAAAAUCCUUGUAAAGAAAAUUGUUUGAGAUGUUCUCAAGACACAGGUUCUGAUUGUAAUGCCUGCAAACCUGGAUAUUAUGGCAGACCAACUCACUGUACUGAGCCUUGUCCAAAUCGAUGUUUAAAUAACACAUGUGAGGAAAACGGCAGUUGUAUAUGCAUACCAAACUCUGAAGGCAACAAGUGUGAAACAUGCGUUCAGGGGCUUUAUGGAGAUAAUUGUGACAAAGAAUGUGCUCACCAAAAUUGCAGAUGUACAGAACAAAAUAAUUGCAUUUCAUGCAAAGAUAAAUAUACUGGUGAGUUCUGCCAAAACACUUGUUCUAUAGGCUGCAUUGACGCAACUUGCAAUAAAAAUGGUAGCUGCAGCUGUCUU